GUCCACGCUGUAAACGAUGGGUACUAGGCGUCGGGGGAGCGACCCCUUCGGUGCCGUCGCUAACGCAAUAAGUACCCCGCCUGGGGAGUACGGUCGCAAGACUGAAACUCAAAGGAAUUGACGGGGCCCGCACAAGCGGUGGAGCAUGUGGUUUAAUUCGACGCAACGCGAACAACCUUACCUAGGCUUGAACUACUGGAAGUAGAAUUGAUGAAAAUCGAGACGACCUGUUAAGUCAGGAACCAGCAGAGGUGCUGCAUGGCUGUCGU
rnacentral:rRNA from 1 species